rnacentral:tRNA from 3 species
CGGGGCGUAGCGCAGCCCGGUAGCGCACUUGACUGGGGGUCAAGGGGUCGCAGGUUCAAGUCCUGUCGCCCCGA